GGAGAGGUGGCUGAGAGGUCGAAAGCGCUCGACUCGAAAUCGAGUAAGGGUCACACCUUCGAGGGUUCGAAUCCCUCCCUCUCCG
rnacentral:tRNA from 1 species